rnacentral:tRNA from 2 species
UCCGGGGUCGUCUAAUGGUAGGACUCCUCGCUUUGGACGAGGGUAUUUUGGUUCGAAUCCAAGCCCCGGAA